CUCCGGUCCCCUUCCACAGUGUGGAAGGUUUGUUCUUUCGCUCUUUGCAAUAAAUCUUGCUGCUGCUCACUCCUUGGGUCCACACUGCUUUUAUGAGCUGUAACACUCACUGGGAAAGUCUGCAGCUUCACUCCUGAAGCCAGCGAGACCACGAGCCCACCGGGAGAAACGAACAACUCCAGACGCGCCGCCUUAAGAGCUGUAACACUCACCGCGAAGGUCUGCAGCUUCACUCCUGAGCCAGCGAGACCACGAACCCACCACAAGGAAGAAACUCUGAACACAUCCGAACAUCAGGAGGAACAAACUCCAGACGCGCCACCUUAAGAGCUGUGACACUCACCUUGAGGGCCCACGGCUUCAUUCUUGACAUCAGUGAGACCAAGAACCCACCAAUUCCAGACACAAUGGGGCUUCCUCUCCACUGACUUCUGCAACAUGGCCCAUGUCACUGAGCUGGCAACCAAGAGGGUGGUAGUUUAAUAUUUUGGUUGAUG
rnacentral:lncRNA from 1 species